rnacentral:rRNA from 1 species
ACGUAGGGUGCGAGCGUUAAUCGGAAUUACUGGGCGUAAAGCGGGCGCAGACGGUUACUUAAGCAGGAUGUGAAAUCCCCGGGCUCAACCCGGGAACUGCGUUCUGAACUGGGUGACUCGAGUGUGUCAGAGGGAGGUAGAAUUCCACGUGUAGCAGUGAAAUGCGUAGAGAUGUGGAGGAAUACCGAUGGCGAAGGCAGCCUCCUGGGACAACACUGACGUUCAUGCCCGAAAGCGUGGGUAGCAAACAGGAUUAGAUACCCUGGUAGUCCACGCCCUAAACGAUGUCAAUUAGCUGUUGGGCAACCUGAUUGCUUGGUAGCGUAGCUAACGCGUGAAAUUGACCGCCUGGGGAGUACGGUCGCAAGAUUAAAACUCAAAGGAAUUGACGGGGACCCGCACAAGCGGUGGAUGAUGUGGAUUAAUUCGAUGCAACGCGAAGAACCUUACCUGGUCUUGACAUGUACGGAAUCCUCUGGAGACGGAGGAGUGCCUUCGGGAGCCGUAACACAGGUGCUGCAUGGCUGUCGUCAGCUCGUGUCGUGAGAUGUUGGGUUAAGUCCCGCAACGAGCGCAACCCUUGUCAUUAGUUGCCAUCAUUCAGUUGGGCACUCUAAUGAGACUGCCGGUGACAAGCCGGAGGAAGGUGGGGAUGACGUCAAGUCCUCAUGGCCCUUAUGACCAGGGCUUCACACGUCAUACAAUGGUCGGUACAGAGGGUAGCCAAGCCGCGAGGCGGAGCCAAUCUCACAAAACCGAUCGUAGUCCGGAUUGCACUCUGCAACUCGAGUGCAUGAAGUCGGAAUCGCUAGUAAUCGCAGGUCAGCAUACUGCGGUGAAUACGUUCCCGGGUCUUGUACACACCGCCCGUCACACCAUGGGAGUGGGGGAUACCAGAAGUAGGUAGGAUAACCGCAAGGAGUCCGCUUACCACGGUAUGCUUCAUGACUGGGGUGAAGUCGUAACAAGGUAGCCGUAGGGGAACC